GUAAGGUUGACCAACGAACUGUUCCUGUAUGAGUGAGCCUAGUAACGUCGACACACAGUCUAUUUCUGACGCUUACUGCAUCGAUGUCAUCUAGUCAUCGUCCUCUUACACAACCAAUCGUCUACACCCAGGAAAUACGCAGACAACAAGGUAUUGACAUUCCCUGGAACCACAGACUGGCUUAAAAAAAACUAAGGCAAUGCCAACAACACCAGAAAACUCCUGGCAGUCUCUAUGCGCUGGGUUGGUCGGAAACCCUAACCCAGAGUUAGUCGCCGACCUUCCAUGGAUGGGUGCCCCGAUGCUGACCCUGCCUCCCCUGACCUCCGACCAAGAGCUCCCAGUUACAAAGCCUAUGUGGGUGGUCCGUGUGGCUGCACCCGACAUGAAGUUCGAAGACAAGCGAUUCGCAUCCUUCGACCGUUGUUCAUCCGUUCCUAACGGCUUGUUUAUCACGAGGUUGGCGGAGCAAGGUUACUACUUCGACCAACGCUUGGGGAAAAUAUUGUGUUUUUGUUGCGGGCGAGAGCGAGAGUCCGGCCACACCCACACCUGCCAGCCAGCGCGGAAGGAGUUGAACAUCCCCUUCCUUCAUCAAGCUCUGCACCUACACCAAAUGAGCACCACGACCGUCAGCAACACCCAGCGACGUCGUGCACCUAACGGGUGUUUGUCCAAGGGAAGCAGGUGCCUGUAGACAUGGUGCUUUGCAGUUCUGGGAAGACAACUUCUCACCCAAUGCCAAGCAUCUAGAUGGCAUGAAGAGAAGAGAAAAACGUCUUCGAAGGCUCUGAACAGCGCCACCACCUGAAGCAAUUCAUCACCUGGCUGCAACUUUCUCUCUUCUCUCUCUCUCUUCCUUUACGGCCGCACCUCGACUAUCUUGCCUCACACACGUGGGCGAUCGUCGUCCUGAUAGUGAUGUAGUUUGGGGAAGCUGUCAUCGCUGGUCAUUUACAGUUAUCGCCUACAAUAUGGCGGCAAGAUGACUGGGGUACAGUGACAAACAUACCACGGUAUGGGGCAGGGUAGGCGUGGUGCGGUGUCGCUCUUCUUAAAUGUUUGCUGCUUUGUUUCUAACUAACCUCCUUCAUUACUGUUAGACAGUGAAUUAUUAUUAUUAUUAUUAUUAUUAUUAUUAUUAUUAUUAUUAUUAUUAUUAUUAUUAUUGUAGAUUAGUUUUUCUCACGAUUUGAAGUGGUGUACUUUAAAAACGAAUGUUGCUGGAGUACAUGCUGACAACGUGAUGAUAAUACUUAUUGAUGGUAAUUUCUAUUUUUAAUUAUGGUUUUUUGAGUGCAUGUGGCAUAUUGUUAUCUGAUUAAUAUAACGGUAAUAACUUAGGAUGUGUUGUUCUAAAUAUACUAGAGACCUUCAAAACAACAGCAUUUCAGUUUCAUCAACUGAACCUGCGACUGGAAUGUGACUUCCGCUAAAUACUUCAGUUCUAAAUUUUGUGUCCAGUUGCUUUACAAAAUAGUUCAUAAGUUGUAGUUGAAUAGUCACUCGUGGGAACUAUCCGUUUGUCAAAUUUUACUCACAUUCGUUAACUGAAAAUACACUGUGUCACUAACCUUUAAACUUGAGUUAAAUUAUAGUUCGUUAUCAUUAUCAUUGUAAUGUGCAGUAAACUACGAAAGAUUGUACAAGAAUAUGUACACACAUUGUCAGAUACAAAUUGUCAUAGUUUUUUAAAACUUUACCCUUUAAAGAUGUUUUAAAGUUAAAAAGAUUUGCCAUGUGUAUGUUGUUGUUUGGCUGUUGGAGUAACCCCCACAGCUGCUCUGACUAUAAUUGAAUUUUGAAAGAGUAACCCAAAAAGAUCGAAUUCUACUCGGUAUAUUGAUCUUUUAAUAUUUGUACGUCUGGACUUAGUAGGGGAGGUAGCUCUUGUCGCCAUCAUGACAAAGAUUUCGUGGGAUGAUUUCCCUUGGACCAUGUUGUGAGAGAACACGGAGCAAGAGAUUCCUUGCUGAAUCUUUGGUAUGACAAUGUUCUGGUUGUUUUUUGGUUUUAGUAAGAUUAAAGAAUGGCACCGAGAAAAAAAAUGUGUGAGCGUGUUUGUUCUAAAGGAUUAUUUAGAAAAGGGGAGAAAAAAUGAUAAAGCAGACUUGAAAGCCAGAAAACGGAGGAAUGAAGUCCUUGGAACGUGGUGUUGUAGAAAACGUGUGGGUCGAUAUUCUGGUUGUGUAUUUUACUCUGAGCGAGACUAAAUGCUGUGUUUACGAUAAAAACAAAUUGAAUAAAGAAUCUUGAUAACAGUACAAUAAAGUUUACACAUUAUGUACA